CCUACGGGAGGCAGCAGUGAGGAAUAUUGGUCAAUGGGCGCGAGCCUGAACCAGCCAAGUCGCGUGAGGGAAGACGGCCCUACGGGUUGUAAACCUCUUUUGCCGGGGAGCAACGGGCGCCACGUGUGGCGCCACUGAGAGUACCCGGAGAACAAGCAUCGGCUAACUCCGUGCCAGCAGCCGCGGUAAUACGGAGGAUCCGAGCGUUAUCCGGAUUUAGUGGGUUUAAAGGGAGCGUAGAUGGGUUGUUAAGUCAGUUGUGAAAGUUUGCGGCUCAACCGUAAAAUUGCAAUUGAUACUGGCAGUCUGGAGUACAGUUGAGGCAGGCGGAAUUCGUGGUGUAGCGGUGAAAUGCGUAGAUAUCACGAAGAACUCCGAUUGCGAAGGCAGCUUACUAAACUGCCACUGACAUUGAUGCUCGAAAGUGUGGGUAUCAAACAGGAUUAGAUACCCGUGUAGUC
rnacentral:rRNA from 1 species